rnacentral:rRNA from 1 species
AUUGAACGCUGGCGGCAUGCCUUACACAUGCAAGUCGAACGGCAGCACGGGAGCAAUCCUGGUGGCGAGUGGCGAACGGGUGAGUAAUAUAUCGGAACGUGCCCAGUAGUGGGGGAUAACUGCUCGAAAGAGCAGCUAAUACCGCAUACGACCUGAGGGGGAAAGGGGGGGAUCGCAAGACCUCUCGCUAUUGGAGCGGCCGAUAUCAGAUUAGCUAGUUGGUGGGGUAAAGGCCUACCAAGGCAACGAUCUGUAGUUGGUCUGAGAGGACGACCAGCCACACUGGGACUGAGACACGGCCCAGACUCCUACGGGAGGCAGCAGUGGGGAAUUUUGGACAAUGGGCGCAAGCCUGAUCCAGCAAUGCCGCGUGCAGGAAGAAGGCCUUCGGGUUGUAAACUGCUUUUGUCAGGGAAGAAAUCCUCUAGGUUAAUACCCUUGGGGGGAUGACGGUACCUGAAGAAUAAGCACCGGCUAACUACGUGCCAGCCGCCGCGGUAAUAC